GUGUUGUAAAUGUUGUUAAUUCGCCGUAAAUAUCUCUUGAUUUGUACUCAAGAGUGGAGCAAGACCCCAAGGAAGAGAGAUUGACGCAUCGGGAGCGAAGAACAGCAACGAUGGAUGGUUACGCUGCUUGGGUCUCGGCACGUUCGAAUUGGCAAAGUUCCGAAUUUGUCGCUGUGUUGUGUACGCUUGUGCGCUCAUCAUUUGCCGUCAUCGCGCGGAGAUAUUUGCGCUGGAUGUCUUUCACUUCGUGUACAAAACUCUGCACGCUGCGGCAUCGAAGAAGUUGUCCUGUGUUUGGGUGCACGUAUGCGCUUGGACACGGAUAGCCUGCUUGCUCUCAACGGGUGUUCAACAGUCUACGCGCGCUCGUAACUUCCUCAUGAGGCAAGUUGCUGUUGUGCUGGAGCUGAGAAGAGGUCUGCUGCCUGCAAUGGGUCCAUCUCUCUCAAGUUAUUGCAGUAUUAUAGCUCUCAAGGUUCAAAAAAAGUAUGGUGGAAGCUGUUGCCAAGGUUCCGACCAGAAAAGACAGCCAGUAUAAAAGGGUCCACGCCACUGAUCUCUACUACAGGGGAUGAACAGCACAUCGAGCGCCCUCGACUGAAGCCGGCCUUGUCCUGGAAGUUGGUGCUUCACAACUUUGCGGCAGCACUUUGUUGCACGGCCUGUGGAGACAAGGUUUCUUAGACAUGGCCAUGGCCCUCAAGGAAGAUGCCGAGGCCACAGGCAGUUCCUCCAGUGACCGUGAAAAGGUCCCCUGGGGCACAAGUCUGGUUUGGCACCCCCGCCUUUCUCCUGCAGCUUUUCUGUCUACUUAGCUAACCAGCAGCAAGUUUAUCCUUGCAAGCGUUUGGAGUCAAGAACAACUUUCACCAGGAAGAAGUGCAAGACGAGUGAUUGAAGAAAAUAAAGUUGCUUCUGUGGUCUAAGAACUUGAGUACUGAAAUGUUGCACCUUUUUGUAUAUAUGCUAUGCAGUGCAUUCAUAUCACAAAGUGCAAAGUGUUUUAUCUCUGCAGCCAUGUCAGUGUGUUGGCAAGACAAUUUUCUCAAUGGUGACCUGCUGCUUUGACUAUGAGCUGCCUUCAUGACAUUUGCAUUAAAGGAGAUGUACUAUCGUGGACAAAAGUACCCUGGAAGUGCGAGCGUUGACCAAAUUGCAUUUCUGCUCAAGACCGCUGAAAAC